rnacentral:rRNA from 1 species
CACGUAGGGCGCGAGCGUUGUCCGGAAUUAUUGGGCGUAAAGAGCUCGUAGGCGGCCUGUUGCGUCCGCUGUGAAAGCCCGGGGCUUAACCCCGGGUCGGCAGUGGAUACGGGCAGGCUAGAGGUAGGUAGGGGAGAAUGGAAUUCCCGGUGUAGCGGUGAAAUGCGCAGAUAUCGGGAGGAACACCGGUGGCGAAGGCGGUUCUCUGGACCGAGACUGACGCUGAGGCGCGAAAGCGUGGGGAGCAAACAGG